CUCUUGUAGUGUUAGCGGUCUUGUUGCCCCUGAGGUUGGCACCCAAUUUGUUGUGGAAAGUGUUGAUGGGUCCCUAGGGCCAACAGGCCUCUAGAGCACACUCAAUUUAUACGUCAGAACGUGAUUACCUAGGGACAAAAAAAUUGUUUGAACCACAAUGAGGUCGUAUUGGGACUGAGAUGACGUGACUGGUGGCCUUGGAAACUGAGACAAGACCUGUGAUGGUAACACUGAAAAUGUGCAAAAGCUGUUAGCAACGUGGCUGUGUUGAAUUUACAAGUGAAGCAUUUUUCUUACCAAGGGAAGAAGCGCGUAUUUGGCGCGAUGCACACAAAAUGUGAAGACGCCGGGCAGACGGGAGACUCAUGCCACCUUGAAGCUUCCACGAUCUUGUCGUGCAUGGAGCUCCUCCGGCCGCACUGUGCUUCAGGCUUAGUAGCAACAUGUACGACACGCCAACAACUGACUGAUGUAACCAAAUAAAUCUGAGAAGGCACUAAAGUGUGUGUAAUGUAACCAACAACAUAACCAAAAGACGUUAGACUUGUAAGUGGAGGAUUUCCCUUCUUACCCAAGCCUGGGAUAGGUUUCAACUUUAGUAAGUUGAAAGGUGAGCUUGGGUUAGAAUAUCACGUAUGUCUGGGAGUGUGUGGUAUUGUAAUGGUACUACCACUACAUGUGUGGAAGGUUGAAUGAAGCUAAUGCUGCAUCGUACUAAUGGUCGUUUGCGAGGCAGUACAAAUUGUUUUAAAUUUGAACGAACUUUCAAAUCAAAGGGACAAUGAAUACCUGAAGUUAGUCUUGAUAUUUAGUGUAGCAAAUAGGUUUAGAACACCACACCCCCUUGUAAUCGAAAAGAGAUCAGAGUAAAGAGCGUUGUACUUCACCCUAGGACAAUACUGAGUGGCAUAGGUUAGCAAAGUGGUGUGGGUGAACAUAUGCAUGGAGUGUAAGUAUAUAAAAGUUGGUACAACAUAUUUGCUGAUUGGGUUAAUUGGUCUGCAUAGAAAGCAGAUGGGAAUGUAAUGGUUGAGUAGUUUGCUAUUGUCGGUCACAAAUGGGAAAUAAAGAAUUGGUGUACAUGUCAGUCUUGGGGAAAAGUGGUUAAUAGUGUAAUAUGAAGUGUGUACGUGUAAUACUGCUACUCUUGUGAGUAGUGGUCUGACAGUGCCUGUUGCAGGGACAAGGUGAUACAAUGUAACUAAUAGACAAGUAAUAGCAUUAAAUUGAGUAGGGCUGAAAGUGUUACAAUUGACAGGAUGAGUAGGCAUUCAGGACUCAUAGAUGGAAAUCCUUAUAAUUGAAUGGGAAGUUUUGCACAAACUAUAGAUAUAGGCCGAGGUACUCAAAUAGUUAAAGGUGCAUAUAUGAAAGACAUGCGUACGUUACAUAGUGGUCUGGCAAGAAGUUUAUACAAUAUUUUCAUGGACUCUUCAUAGGCAUCAUGUGGGUGGUAGUAGGGGCAAUACCAUCCUGCGAGAUGUAGGGUUGAUCCAUACACAACUUUGGUAUAGUUUAUCUUGGUGAUAUUAGUUAGCUGUAUUACAUUCUGUACGAAAUGUAGUUACAUAGCCUUCCAGGUUUGGUGUUUAUACCCCAAAAAAAUUACUUAGGUAGGUACCAACAUGUAGUGUAGUUUUCAAUGGCCAUAGAUGUCACGUAGUGGCAUUUUGUGAUUGUUCAUAAGUUUGACAGGUCACAGUGAAAAAUAUUGCUAAUAUUUGGAGAAAUACACUGACUACAGUAUGUUUAGGAAAUGUUUGUUGUGGG